rnacentral:rRNA from 1 species
UACAGAGGUCCCAAGCGUUGUUCGGAUUCACUGGGCGUAAAGGGUGCGUAGGUGGCCAGGUAAGUUUGGUGUGAAAGCUCGGAGCUUAACUCCGAAAAGUCAUUGAAUACUAUCUGGCUGGAGGGUCGGAGGGGAGACUGGAAUUCUCGGUGUAGCAGUGAAAUGCGUAGAUAUCGGGAGGAACACCAGUGGCGAAAGCGGCUACCUGGCCCAUUCUUGACGCUGAGGCGCGAAAGCUAGGGGAGCAAACGGG